UCCCUGGUGGUCCAGUGGUUAAGACUUCAUACUUUCACUGCACGGGGUUCAGGUUCAAUUCCUGGUCAGGGAA
rfam:Ovis aries breed Texel chromosome 9, whole genome shotgun sequence.